UGCAGUCGAGCGGACAGAUGGGAGCUUGCUCCCUGAUGUUUGCGGCGGACGGGUGAGUAACACGUGGGUAACCUGCCUGUAAGACUGGGAUAACUCCGGGAAACCGGGGCUAAUACCGGAUGGUUGUCUGAACCGCAUGGUUCAGACAUAAAAGGUGGCUUCGGCUACCACUUACAGAUGGACCCGCGGCGCAUUAGCUAGUUGGUGAGGUAACGGCUCACCAAGGCGACGAUGCGUAGCCGACCUGAGAGGGUGAUCGGCCACACUGGGACUGAGACACGGCCCAGACUCCUACGGGAGGCAGCAGUAGGGAAUCUUCCGCAAUGGACGAAAGUCUGACGGAGCAACGCCGCGUGAGUGAUGAAGGUUUUCGGAUCGUAAAGCUCUGUUGUUAGGGAAGAACAAGUGCCGUUCAAAUAGGGCGGCAACUUGACGGUACCUAACCAGAAAGCCACGGCUAACUACGUGCCAGCAGCCGCGGUAAUACGUAGGUGGCAAGCGUUGUCCGGAAUUAUUGGGCGUAAAGGGCUCGCAGGCGGUUUCUUAAGUCUGAUGUGAAAGCCCCCGGCUCAACCGGGGAGGGUCAUUGGAAACUGGGGAACUUGAGUGCAGAAGAGGAGAGUGGAAUUCCACGUGUAGCGGUGAAAUGCGUAGAGAUGUGGAGGAACGCCAGUGGCGAAGGCGACUCUCUGGUCUGUAACUGACGCUGAGGAGCGAAAGCGUGGGGAGCGAACAGGAUUAGAUACCCUGGUAGUCCACGCCGUAAACGAUGAGUGCUAAGUGUUAGGGGGUUUCCGCCCCUUAGUGCUGCAGCUAACGCAUUAAGCACUCCGCCUGGGGAGUACGGUCGCAAGACUGAAACUCAAAGGAAUUGACGGGGGCCCGCACAAGCGGUGGAGCAUGUGGCUUAAUUCGAAGCAACGCGAAGAACCUUACCAGGUCUUGACAUCCUCUGACAAUCCUAGAGAUAGGACGUCCCCUUCGGGGGCAGAG
rnacentral:rRNA from 1 species